rnacentral:rRNA from 1 species
CGCGCAGGUGGAUCUGCAAGUCAGGGGUGAAAUCUCACGGCUUAACCGUGAAAGUGCCUUUGAUACUGCAAAUCUUGAGUUCGGAAGAGAGAGACGGAAUUCCAGGUGUAGUGGUGAAAUACGUAGAUAUCUGGAAGAACACCAGUUGCGAAGGCGGUCUCUUGGUCCGAUACUGACACUCAGGCGCGAAAGCGUGGGUAGCAAACAGGAUUAGAUACCCUGGUAGUCCACGCUGUAAACGAUGAAUACUAGGUGUUGGCCCUUUUAGGGGUCAGUGCCGCAGCUAACGCAUUAAGUAUUCCACCUGGGGAGUACGAUCGCAAGGUUGAA